CAGUGUGGAAUCCCCUCCCCCAGAUCACCGCUCACCAUGCUGAUGUCUUCCAUUGUGAAGCCAUAUAUUCCUUUGUGUGGCACCUCAUUCUCAUUCAAUUACUCUCAGAACAAGGCACCACGCAAAGGAUUAUGUCACCAGAAGUACUACUUUACAAUGAAAGAGGUGCCCCUUCUGGAAAUGUUGUGGGAGCUAGAUAAAUGGCUUCAAGGGGCCACAUAUGGCCCAUGGGCCAUAGUUUGGGGACCCCUGCUUCUACACUAAAGGCCCAUAAGACUUGGAAUAUGAUAUUUAGAAGGGCAAGAAAAUUGGGUCUACAAUCAAGGAUCAUCUACCCAUCAAAACUGAUUAUAUACUUCGAGGGGGAAGUAUGGGCAUUUAACAAAAUAGAGGAUUUCUAAGUAUUCCUAAAGAAAAGACCAGAGCUAAAUGGAAAAUUUGAUGUCCAAAUUCAAGAGAAACAUGAAAAGCUACCUAAUUCCAAGAAGAUUCUAAACUUUUGAGGAGGGGCACCUGAAGGAAACAGGGGCCAGUGCUGACCCUCCAGAGGUCAGUUAAGGAAGAUACUCAAGUUGGUGAACUAUGAAUUACCCAUCAUGGGAGGAGGCAAAGAUGCUUUGAGAUCUAUCCCCCAAGGAAACCACAGUUAGAGGGGAAGAGGUCAGAAAGUGAAUGACAGGGGGAAAUAAGGAGGGGGAAAGGUUUACAUUACUAAAGAUUUCAGGAACAAGAAAACUCAAGGACCUUGAACAAAAGUAGAUAAAUCAACAGGAAAAACACUAAAAUAAUGGGAAAAAUAUGGCCUCUAGAUACUAAAAAAUUCAGGAGUCUGAAUAAAUACCACAAAACAAAGGAAAAUAAUCAAACACUUGAUGAGACAGAAGACCCUGUGGAAUUGUGGAGAACAUGAAACCACAACAUAUUAUCCAAAUAGUUCAAAAGAGAAAUGAGAGUUAUGAGAGCAAAAUGUCUGAUCUGCACAACAAAAAUAAAAGGCAGAAUAAGAAAACUAGGAUCUACCAUGGCAAGCUCACCAAAUAAAAGAGAGGAUAAUAUAUUGAGAAUGAAAAUAUACAGAAAUGAAGUACAUUGUAGAAGAAAAGAAGCAAAAAAAAAAAUACAGCUCAACUUUCAAAGGAAAUAUGCUUAGUAUGCAAGAAACCACACUAAUCUUGAAGACAGGAUGCAGAGAGUAAGCCCAAGGAUUAUAGAUCUCUCAGAAGAACAAUGAGAUGAAAAAGUCUUACUGUCAUAAUGAAGGAUAUAAUAGAACCGCCCAGAACCUCAGAACAUAGAAAAUGGAGAACCAACUGACAAAUUCACAGAUUACCUGAAGAAGGGGAAAAAAAUCCAGGCUGAAAACUCUGGGUCACAGAGCAGUUAAAUUUAACAAUUUAAUUCAGAAACAAUUUCUGCAGAUGAUCAAGAGGAAGAACUUUAAAUACAAAGUAAAAGACAUUUGGAAAAUAUGUACUAUUGUUCACCACUAGAAAAUAUAGCCCGGAAUGUCUGUGGAGCAGUGAAGCUCUGGAUGAAGCCCAGGGUGGCCUACCCUGAAAAUCUGAGUUUAACCAUACAGGAAAAGAUAUGGACAUUCAAUAAUAAGGAGAACAUUCCAGCAUUUUUAGAGAGAAAGUCAGAAUGUGAGAUUAGUUGUUUCCCAAACAAUAGAAAUGGAGGCAGGCUGAAUAAAUGUAGCAGCUAAGAACAGCAACAGCAACAAAGUGAUUGCAGGGAGACUAGGAAGGGACUGGCCUUCUUUCUAAUCAUAGACAAGGAGGCAGAAGGAAACUGAAGCCAGAACUCUAGUAGAGAUAAUGGGCGAAGAGGCAGAUGGGGCACUUUGGAGAGCACCUGACAGAACCCUCCUAUGAGCAAUAGAGAGGCAAGGAAGAUUUUUGAGCUAGGAAAUGCAAUGGAAUUGGAUCAGCACUGUGAAAAAUGAAGAUGACUCAAAGAAACAUAGGAUCACUAAAAGCAACAAGAAGGUAAUGAAGACUGAGCUAGGAAAUGUAAUAGAAUUGAAUCAGCACUGUGAAAAAUGAAGAUGACUCUAAGGAACCUAGAACCACAGAGUUAGAACUAGGAGAGAGAUCAGAGGUCAGCUAGUCCAACAGUCUUAUUUUGCAGAUGAAGAAAGUGAGCUGAGUUUCAUUUUUCUGUUUACUUCUUUUGUUCUUGACUUGUCUAAGACAUUCUCUUCAGUCGACAAGACACAUGCAAAAGGUAUGUGAAGACACCCAGGAUGAGGACAAGAAAAGUUUUGCCUUUUCAGUCCAAGACUUUCUUGAGAGUACUCUGGAUUUUUGUUGCUGGUUUGAACUGGGGCCUUUUUGGCUUUUGGAUCACAUUCCAACUGACCUCUUCAGGGAACAAGUAUUUUUCCUGGAUAAUAAGUCAGAGCUUAGAUACCAUCAUCUUGUAAGUGUAAUCUAGAAAGUACAAUCCCAAAUGUUCAUACUUAGAAUCAUAGAAUAGCAGAACUAGAAGGGAUGUUACAGAUCACUAGAACAAACCUUUCAAGCUCUCAUUGUUCUCCUACAGCUUCACUGCAUCUCCCAGCACUUAAUCCUGGCCGCUUGGCCUCUCAUACUGGGAAGAACUCAGUGUUAAUUGUAAACUUGGGAAAUUUGCUGAGAACUCCUUCUUCUAAAAAGUUUAUAUAUUUAAACAAAAACGAUUUAAGAAAUAAGUGCCAUCUAUUGCCAAAUUCUGGAAGACAUCAUGACUUGCUCAUUUCUAUAUAGACAAGUUCUAUGACUUCAUAUUUCAGUUCAGGGCUGGGCAUCCAUGGACAUGAGUACUCCCUUCCUAGGCAGGGUUGGGCAUCCAUGGACAUGGGUGCUCCAAAGGACACAAUUGUCUCCCUUUCCAGUGCUUUAGCAGGUCAUUCUUUCUCAGUGGCUGUGGUUUAAAAUUUUCAUUUGUUGGCAGGCAAGUCUCUGAUAAUGAGCCCCUUUGCACUUACUAAGGCUAAUUCUAGACCAGCACUGGUGAAUGUUUUUGAGUUUGCAUGGCCAAACUGCAACUUCAAGCUGCCUGUGAACCCACCUCCCAACCCCCCACCCCACAUUACCCCAGAAAGCAGAGGAAGGAAGUGCUUGCAUUGGGCAGCUCAGCAAAAAGGUGGGGCAUGCAAAAAAUGUCCUCAUGGGCUAUUGAGAGGGAGAAUGGAGCAGCCCCCUCUGUGCCACUCUGGCACCCAUACCAUGCCUUUGCCAACAUGGUUCUAGACCAUGGUUACAAUGUUUAUCAUAGAACCAUUCUUGAAAGUCCUUUCUGACUUGGUAGAAACUGCCAGAAAAAGGAAGCCAGAGAGGGUAUAAGACCUUAUCUAAACAUUCAAAAUGUAACUAAAGGAAUACUAGUUCUCCAUGAUAAGGCAUCAAAGAAGAAUGUCAGUGGAAUGCCUUGACAUCCAUAGAAAAACAAUCUUCUGCUAGAAACUACUCAAUCCCAGAGGCAUUCAUUUUAUUUUUAAUAGUCUUUGUUGUAGAGUCUUGUCAAAAGUGUUUUUAAGUUGGUGUUAAAAACAAUUAUAAUCAUAACCACUAUUUUUCAUCUUCUUAAGUCCUCUAUUGGUUUAUAUUGAUUAUGAUGCUAAACAACCCACAAAGCAGGACCAUAGCAGAACAGUUGGAGAAACUGAGGAAAAUAUUGAUAGGUUGAUCUCUAGUUGGUCUGGACUUAGUAGUACCCUUCCCUUUGGGAGCAAAACAGGAGGCCAUACCCAUAAUGGUUGAUGAGACUUCCCAUAGCCUCACCUCUAUAUCUCUGAGCUUGAAUUCUUGUGUCACAGCUACUCACUCCAUCACUAGUUUCCUGUCCAGCUUACUUGCUUCCAUUUCCUAGUGCCUCAGCACUGGGUUUUGUUCUCUGAAUUUUAAUUCCUUAGGAAAUUUUAGCACCUGAAGUACAGAGAUAAUUCAUAGUUGUAUUUUAGGUUAUGUUGGGGGCUGCACUGAAUGAUUCACACACACUUACCUGUUCUUUCAUGUAGAAGAGAUAUAAAUUGCUUGUUGUUCAAUUUUUUCUAUCAUGUCCUACUCUUUGUGGCCCCAUUUGGGAUUUUCUUGGCAAAGAUAUUGAGGUGAUUGACCAUUUCCUUUUCCAGCUCAUUUUACAGAAGAAGAAAAUGAGGCAAACAAGGUUAAAUGACUUGCCUAGGGUCACAUAGUUAGUAAGGGUUUAUGGCUACAUUUGAACUCAGGUCUUCCCAAUUCUACUCCCAGCACUCUAUCUACUUUGCCACCUAAGUCCCCCAAACUACUGGUUUUGUUACUGAAAUGGUCAUCUGGCAUGAAGGGGAAAGUAGGGAUGGGGGUUCAGGGUGUAACCAGGAUAUGUCAGGUGGUGACUGGAGUGAAGUAUUAACCUGAGACCUAGAUUUGGAGUCACUCUGUGGCUGACAUGGGGUCCAGAAAAAGGGAGACAGUGUGUGGCAAUGGUAGGAGGAAAAGUCUGGCUGUGAUUUGGGUUCAUUUGUUCAACAAACCUUAAUUCAGUAUCUUCCAUGUGUGAAGCCCUGUGCCAGCUCUGGGAAGAUAAGUAGUAUAUAUUAAAUAUGGUCCUUGCGGCAUAGAGCACAUGGUCAAAGUGGGAUAAACCAUAAGAAGAGAUAACUGUCAUGUGCAAUACAUGCGAGGCAGGAUGCAGGGUCUACUGGUAAGAACACUGAAUUUGUAGUCAAGAGACCUGACUCCUAAGCCUACCUGCCCCUCUCCAGCUGUGUCAUUUUGGACAUGUCACUUAGAUUCUCUGGAUCUUAGUUCCCCCCUCUGUAAAGCAAGGAGACUAUAAUCAUACAGUCUUUAAGCACCCUCAUAGUUCUAAAUCCUAUGAUAAGUAAAUUAGAAAAGUGAAAACCAAGCACUAGCCUUGGGAUAUGGGGGUGUCAUUGUUGUGGCUCAGUCAAUUCAGUUGUGACUUAUUCUUCAUGACCCCAUUUGGGAUUUUCUUGGCAAAGAUACCAGAGCAGUUUGCCAUUUCCUUCUCCCAAUUAUUUCACACUGAAGAAACUGAGGCAAAUAGGUAAAGUGACUUGCCCAGAGUUACACAGCUAAUGAGUAUAAGGAGGCCAGAUUUGAACUAAGGAAGAUGAGUCUUCCCAGCUCUGGGCCAGUACUCUAUCCACUGCACCAUCUAGAUGCCCAUAUGGGAAUACCAGAUUACCAACCAGGGGAAUCGGAGGUUUUAUGGGCUUAGAGGUGAGUCUGUGGUUGGUUUAGGUUUAUUCUAUGAUUAGUAGAUUGGUCAAAGAAAGGGAUUUGGAGGACAGGUAGAGGCAAAGCCCAAAGUUCUCCUUACCUCCAAAUGCCUCAAAUUCCCUAAGAGUCACUUAAGAAUAGGUGGAUUGCUAUGCUGAUGGGUGACUUGAGCUCUGGUUAGCUAAGCAGCAUGACCCUGAGUGACACCUCCCUUUUUCCAGAUCAUAGAAAAUCAUAGAUCAUUAUAAACAAGGUUAGGUAUUGAAGAGGUGACACCCUCAUUAUUAUCAAUUAACAUCUCCUGAAUGUUCCUUGCAAGAGACAGAAGGUUCUUCUCAGGGAGCAGAGUCAAACCAAGUCAACAAGCAUUUAUUAAGCAUUUACAGACGUCAGGAAAAACUCUGCCCUUGAGGACACAACUCAGAGCAAGGAAGGAAAUUGUGGAGAUAGGGUUUAUCUUGAUAUGAAAGGAAACUUCCCAAUCAUGAAAGGUUUCUGAAAUGCAAAGGGCUGCCUUGGGAGAUAGUGAGUUUUCCAUCACUGCAAAUCUCUAAAGAAAUAAUAGAUGGCACUUCUUUACGUUACUGUCAAAGAUAUUAUUCUGGGUUGGGUUAGGAUGCCUCUGUGGUUCUUUCUAGCUCUCAGAUUCUAUGAUCCCAAGAUAUCUCUAUGAAAGUUAUGUUGUUAUGAAUGUGGAUCUGAAUUCCAUGGGAUAUCCAUGAUCAUUGCCUCAGUGUGUCCAGUCCUUCCACUCCAAGAGCAAAGGGGAAAUUAAAAUGAGAAAUAUGGUCAUUCCUUAGGAAAACCUUUAUAAGCCUCAGUUUCCUUACUUAAAACACAAAUGACAUAUAGUUAUGUGGCACAGUAGAAGGAGCACCAAACUUGAGGACAGAAAGAUCUGAAUCUAAACCCAGUCUCAUACACUUACUAGCUGUGUGAUCUUGGACAAAUCACUGAACUCUGUUUGCCUCAGUUUCUUCAUCUGUAAAAUGAGCUUGAGAAGGAAAUUACAUAUUAAUCCUGUUUCUUUGCAAAGAAAACCCCAAAUAAAGUCAUGAAGAGUUGGACAUGACUGAAAAUUAACUGAACACAGCAUUGUAGUGAGGAUAAAAUGGCAUAGCAUUUGUAAAGUGCUUUGCAAAACUUAAAGUACUAUAUAAAUACUAGCUAUUAGUAUUCCAAAUCUAAAAUCUAACGUUUUUAAUGCAUUUUACAUAUUCUUACCCAGAUAGAUAUUCUUUUAUCUAAUAAUGUAAGCACCUUGAGAUCAUACGAACUCUUCAUUUUAUUUUUGUUUCCCUUAACACCUAACAUAAAGCCUGGCACCUAAUAAAUUGAUUGAUUGAUUCUAGAUUCUGUGAAAUAAAGCUCCCAUAACAGCUCUGCUUUUUUACAUUUUAAAGAUCCUCUAUAUUUUAAGGCUCUUCUCUAGUCUGUGUUCUAAUGUGGCCAUUAGCUCUGAUAUUCUGUUAUGUUUGUCUUGUCAUAGUUGAUGAUCUUUUUCUUAAGGCUACAUUUGCAGCAUCUGAAAGUUGUCUUAACCCUAGUCUGACUUUUAGUAGCACUGGACAUUUGGGCAUAGACAUCAUGUUGAACUCUAGAAGGUACCAGUAUUCUGGAGUAGUAUUUAUAGAGAUGUAGUGUGGCUAGGGAUGAAGGCCAAAGAAAGGAAAUGAGGUGGACAUCAGGCUUAUGGAGGUAGGUACCAAUAACUAUGGUUAGGAUUUGACCCUCUUCAGGAUCAGUGGCUUGACCCAAAAGUCCAGGGCCAAAUAUGGCCUUCCUCCUUCUCCAUAGACUUUUGGCCAAAAUAGAACAGGAAAGAGAGUAUAAUGUGGUGCAGUGGAAAGAAUACUGGUUUGGAAGUCAGAGUAUCUGAGUUCAGAUUCCAAUUCUGCCAUGUUACCUGUGUAAUCUUGGGCAAGAUAUUUCACUUUUCUAGACCUCAGUUUCCCCAUUUUAAAAGGAAAGGUUGGAAUAGAUGGCCCCUAGAGUCCCUUCCAGCUCUAAAUCCAUUAUCCGAUCAUCUUUUACUGUAGCCUACCUGAAAAACGGUUUCAUUUUUUAAUUUUUGGAUCCCUAGCACCAGCAGGCAUUCAAUGAAUAUCUGUUCAAUUGAAUUUAAAUUAAUUGAACUGGAUCAAACAAAAACAAAAACACUGAUUCAUUCAAGAAAACAUUAAUUGGGAGUUAAGGGAAUGGGAAAGACAAGUCCAGUGAGUGAUGAGUAGCCCAAUCCUCAUAUUUCCAUAGUGGGAGUUAGUAAGAAUGGUAAGAUGAAAUCAGAUUGUUGAGACCUUGAAUUCCUUGAACCUUACUUGGCAGAGCAAGAGGUGACCUUUGAAAGUUUUGACACAGGGAGACUCAUGGUCAGACCUGUGCUUUAGGAAGAUUAUUUUUGACAGCAGUGUGCAGAUUUGAUAGAAGAGAAAGUAGAGCCUGGGAGAUGAGAUAGGAAGUUAUUACAGUAGUUUAUAUGAAAGGUAAUGAGGCCUUAAACCAGGGUGGUGGCUGUUGGGGAGAAGGUACAUGUUGCAGAAGUAGGAUACAUCGGACUUAGUGACUUAUUGGUUGGGGUGGAGUUGAGAGAGAGGGAGAAAUCAAAGGUGACUUAGGGUUUCCAGCUUGGGACACUGGUGGCAUCAUAAAUAGAAAGGAAGGAGCAUGUCACAUUUAUGGAACAGUAAGGACAUGAACCUAGCAAAGCAGACAAUGUGUAUUAUGAAAUGAUAAGAAAAAACACUGGAUGGAUGAGGGGGAGUUGGAUUAUGGAAGUCUUUGAGAUCCAAAGGAAUUUAGAUUUCAAGUCCUAGCAAAAAGAACCAUCAAAGAGUUUUGGGCAGAGAAGAAAACAGCUCCUCCUUUCUGAUCAUCUCUUUCUUUUUUUUGGCUAUUAAUUUCAGUUUUUCAAUUGCCUGUCGAAACAAUUAAAAAAAUGAUUUUCUGGGGGCAGCUAGGUGACUCAGUGGUUAGAGAGCUAGGCCUGGAGAUGAAAAGUUCUUGGUUCAAAUUUUGCCUCAGAUACUUCUUUGCUGUGUGAUCCUCAGCAAGUCACUUAAUUCCCAUUGCCUAGUCCUUACUGAUCUGCCUGAGAACCAAUAUUCUAAGAUGGAAGGUAAGAGUUUCUAAAAAAUUGUUUUCUGGACUUUAACAAUCCAUAUUUUCUCCUUCCCUCUCCUACUCCCUCCACAAAUGGUAAACAAUUGGAUAAAGUUUUUAUACUGUUGUCAUAUGACACAAAUAGCUAUAUUCUUCAUGUUGUGAAAAAGACAUUUCACAUAUAUAAGAAAAACCUCAUAGAGGAAAUUAGGCGAGCAAUGUAUGGUUCAAUCUGAAUUCAUACCUUGGCAGUUCCUUCUGCGGCUGUGGAGAGCAUUUGUCAUCAUGAGACCUGUGAGAUUGUCUUGGAUCCUUGCAUUGUUGAUUA